rnacentral:piRNA from 1 species
CAUUGAGCACUGAGUGAACGAGACUCC